GUAGAUUUGAGCUUCAAGAAACAAAGUCAAUAGUGAUGGAGGUUUUAUUACAAUCAGCAAAGCUUAUGCAACUGUAUGGAGUAGCAAAAACCAACUCCUGAUUCAAGACAAACCAGUCUCACUCUUUAUCAAAUACUAGACACAGAGGCCAUCAUUAGCAUUUCAGUAUUUGGUUGUUUAAGUUUUAUUUAUUUUUGCAUUAUACAGCUAUUGUGCAUCUUAUCACAAGUUCUUCACUACUCCAAAAUAUAAUUCAGUUGCUUUUGCUUCCCGGUCUGG
rnacentral:lncRNA from 1 species